GUGCCCUUGGUGUACGGAAACACACAUCUUUCAAUUAUACCAUUGGAGGAUAUACAAGAUGAGUCCGGGGUUCAACUCCCUGAGGGUGCA